GCAUGUAAAGUAAUAUUUCAUAUAUAUGGUCAUCAACUUUUGCACUAAAGUAAUUAAAUUAUUUUCUUUUUAAAAAAAAACAAUUACUCAAUCUAAUCUACAUAUUAUGAAAAUUAGUAACUAUUUUCUUCUGUAAAAAUAAAAGAAAAGAAUCACGUAUCACGAAAAUUUCUAAACUAUUUUCCCUAACAAAGAUAUCACUAAC
rnacentral:lncRNA from 1 species